rnacentral:rRNA from 1 species
UACGGAGGGUGCAAACGUUGCUCGGAAUCAUUGGGCGUAAAGCGCACGUAGGCGGCCUGAUAAGUCGGGUGUGAAAGCCCUGGGCUCAACCCAGGAAGUGCACUCGAAACUGUCAGGCUUGAAUAUGGAAGAGGGUCGCGGAAUUCCCGGUGUAGAGGUGAAAUUCGUAGAUAUCGGGAGGAACACCAGUGGCGAAGGCGGCGACCUGGGCCAAUAUUGACGCUGAGGUGCGAAAGCGUGGGAGCAAACAGG